rnacentral:lncRNA from 1 species
CCUUCAGCCAGCUCAGGUCUAUAAUUGGUUUGCAAAUUAUCGACGACGUCAAAAAUCUCGCCUCCUUCAUAUGGAAGAGCUCAACAAUUCUUGUCCUGAGAGGGCUUUGGCUUCCCACAGCAAUGAGCCACAGGAUAAAGGAUCCAACACUCCACAAACUGCAGAUGGAUCUCGUGCAGGCAUCAGCCCUGAGCAAACAGAGAUAACCCACAUGCCUUGUGAGCCAGGAUGGGAGCAAUCAGCUGCACCUCCGUAUAAGCCUCCUGAAGGAACAUAUUUAAAGAUGCUGGAAUCCAGCUGUAUGCAGAGCCCUGAGCAGUAUGAAACUGCAACAAGCGUGGCUUUGUUCACCACUCACAGCACUGAACAACCUGUACCUUUUGGCACCGAGGCUGUGAUGGAACCAGGAACCUACUUUGGCUCUCCUGUGCUGCUGCCUGGAGAAGCAGUGAGCAGUGCUGCUGCCAGCCCCUGGCAGGGGAACUUUGUCCUGCACUCUUAUGAGUCCCUUCCCUCUGUGAAUUAUUGG